UGUCUAGUUCACAACACAACUCUGGAGAGACUGUCUAGUCCACAACACAACUCUGGAGUGACUGUCUAGUCCACAACACAACUCUGGAGAGACUGUCUAGUCCACAACACAACUCUGGAGAGACUGUCUAGUUCACAACUCUGGAGUGACUGUCUAGUCCACAACACAACUCUGGAGAGACUGUCUAGUCCACAACUCAACUCUGGAGCGACUGUCUAGUCCACAACUCAACUCUGGAGAGACUGUCUAGUCCACAACACAACUCUGGAGAGACUGUCUAGUCCACAACACAACUCUGGAGAGACUGUCUAUUCCACAACACAACUCUGGAGAGACUGUCUAGUCCACAACACAACUCUGGAGAGACUGUCUAGUCCACAACACAACUCUGGAGUGACUGUCUAGUCCACAACACAACUCUGGAGAGACUGUCUAGUCCACAACACAGUGAGAAGCAGCAUCUCAACCUUCUUAGCUGUCUGGAACGACUCCUGCUUCCCGCCAUCUCAUUAAAAGUGUCUUUGGAAAAUGUGUGAACAUCAUAUACUCCUGCUUCCUGCUUCCUGCUUCCUGGCCUUUUCUUAUUCAUUUAUUCUGAUGUCUUUUACAGUUUUAUAGUUUUAAGAUGUUGUUUUUAAUGAUGAGCCUGGGAAAACCAAAAAUGAUGUAUCGGAAGUUUGGGGAAGAACUACUGAUUUGGAAGGUUAAAUUAGGUUAGGUUAAAUUAGGUUAGGUUAAAUUAGGUUAGGUUAAAUUAGGUUAGGUUAAAUUAGGUUAAGUUAAAUUAGGUUAAGUUAGGCUAGGUUAAGUUAGGUUAGGUUGUUAGGCUAAGUUAGGCUAGGGCAACAUUCCAAAUGGCACUUAAUCCCUACAUAGUGCACUAGUUUUGACCAGAGCUCUGUGGCCACUGGUCAAAAUGAGUGUACUAUAUAGGGAAUAGGGUGCCAUUUGGGACACCACCUAGGUUAUACAAGCUAGAGUCCCAGUUAGGACUGUGUGGUGGUGAUGGGGGAUGGGCUGGAGCCUGGGCUGGGUACCUUGUAUACUAUAGCAUACUGCUGCUUGGCUGUGCCAGCAUGUCUAGAAGUUAAACCUUUCAUUGUCGAAUCAAGUGCCUUCAGUUGUAUUGUUUUGAGAGAAUAAGAGGGGAAAACAAAGGAACGCCAAGUUUUCUGUAUUGUAGUGUAUUGUAGUGUAUUGUAGUGUAUGUAUUGUAGUGUAUUGUGUAUCGUGACUUCAAGCAUUAAUGAUGUAUCGUAGAAAUGGUAUCAUUGACGAACAAACCACACUUCCCUCUACUUCCCCGAUGUUUCAUAAUCAAAAGUGUACUUCUAUUGUUAAAGGUUUUAUAAAAACGUGUUAUCACGAUGUUCUUUUCAAUCCUAGCCUCUUUAUUUUCCCUGUCUCAUUCAAGCCUGAUUCGCGGUUGCUUUGUUCCUGAUCUUUUACUAGUCUUCUGUGUUUCUUAGGUUAUUACAGGAUGGAUAAUAGAUCAAACAGAUUCUUGUUUUUUUUUACUUUAGGUUUUUUGUUGUUGUUGGAUUGAUAUGUUUGUUUUUUAAAUCACUAAAUGACGUGGACAUCUUUUACAGAGAAACAGACCGAUUCCAUUACGAGUUGUCUCUCACCAGUUAGGGUUUUUAACUGGACAAGUUUGGUAAUGAUUUAAUGUAGUUGUAACCUUUUCCAUCACACGCUCUGCUUUCAUUCUUUCACUAUUACGUUAAGAUAUUCCUAAUCAAUACCCCCCCCCCCCCCCCCCCCCCCCCCAACAAAUAAAUUCUAACUUGAAAGAAGAACAAAAGGCACUUUGGAUCAAUAAGGGCUUGUUUGAUAUACCUGCAUCCUGAAUGGCACCCUAUUCCCUACACAGUGCACUACUAUAUAAUGGGAAUAGGGUGCAUUUUAGGAGCCAGCCAUUGUCUCCCUGUCUGAAAGGCAGUCUACAGAUAUCCUUUACUGCCCUGUUGUAGACCUGCUGUGCUGCUGAAACAAGAUGGUGGUUAGGACCUGUUUUAUCUGGUGAGAAGAGCAUGUCAUGACGGUUAGAGAGGUAAAGGUUAGAGGUCACAGCCGGGGUUUGAUUUGAAUCAAUGGUAAAUGUGAGUUACAGUAUGUUGGCUUUAGUUGGUGUACAGGUAGAAUUUCUCCUUAUGAAAAAACAACCAGCUAUGGUUUUAUAGUCAGGAAUUGUUGUGAUGUGACAGAUUCCAAAGAGUUAUUUUUUUUAUUUUUUUUCUAGUGUUUCUUCUUUCAACUGAUACUGAAUCUAAUUUCACGAGCGGAAAAAAAACCCUAAAUGAUUUGUUAUUAUCAAUCUCUGUCCAUCUGUCUACCUAUAUAUACACAUGUACGUAUGUAUAAGCUAAUGAGAAUAUGUCAAUUAGGUUAGGGUUUCAAGGUAACCGAGGUGUCUAGACGGUCAUUGUGAUGAACAAAACUGAGGAUUCUAAAGGAUUCUAGAAGUUCUAGAAUAGAACAGACAAGUACGUGAUUCUUCCGGAAUGAUUUCUGUCACGUGUUUGACAUUCUGACAACACAACAACAACGUUGGUGAUCCACUACAGUGACUUAUCUUGUUAAAGUUUGGUGGUUGAAUAAAUGAUGUAUUUGUCA